rnacentral:rRNA from 1 species
GACGAACGCUGGCGGCGUGCUUAACACAUGCAAGUCGAACGGAAAGGCCCUGCUUUUGUGGGGUGCUCGAGUGGCGAACGGGUGAGUAACACGUGAGUAACCUGCCCUUGACUUCGGGAUAACUUCAGGAAACUGGGGCUAAUACCGGAUAGGAGCUCCUGCCGCAUGGUGGGGGUUGGAAAGUUUCGGCGGUUGGGGAUGGACUCGCGGCUUAUCAGCUUGUUGGUGGGGUAGUGGCUUACCAAGGCUUUGACGGGUAGCCGGCCUGAGAGGGUGACCGGCCACAUUGGGACUGAGAUACGGCCCAGACUCCUACGGGAGGCAGCAGUGGGGAAUAUUGCACAAUGGGCGGAAGCCUGAUGCAGCAACGCCGCGUGCGGGAUGACGGCCUUCGGGUUGUAAACCGCUUUCGCCUGUGACGAAGCGUGAGUGACGGUAAUGGGUAAAGAAGCACCGGCUAACUACGUG